UAGCCUGGUGGUUAAGGCUACGGAUCGCCAAUCCGGAGACGGCGGGUUCGAUUCCCGU
rfam:Aedes albopictus isolate Foshan contig65548, whole genome shotgun sequence.